UGUAUAUCCUACGAAAGUUCUGGUUGCUUAUUUUAGAAAGGCUCAGAUAAUCAAAAGAAAAUCCGAAGCAAUAGGUCAAAGCAAUGAUUUCCCAAAUGAUGUUAAAACUGACAGUUCUGUGUAUUUCACGUCGCUGGAUUUUCAGCUUUAAUUAACGAAGCUCCCGAUGGUAUAGCUCUUAAUCGAACUAGACUGCGUCAUUUAUUAAUGGUACUAAACCUUAGAUGGAAUUUCUUGCAAGUACUAACCCUUAGAUGAAAUUUCUUGCAGUUUGUGCAGCAGUUUACAAGUUAGGAGUUGCGGACUUGCCACCACAUUCCAUGUGAGCAGUCUCAUGCGUUGCUUUCAAAACAUCGAAAACAUCGAAGCAGAGGGCUUCUUCUUCUCCUUCAAUUCUACCUCGUGUGGAGAACUCUCAUCUUCGGACUUCAUCAUAUGUCAGGUCAAGUCGGGAAUCUCUUAGGAUACUGGUAAGAGCAGGAAGGAAUCAUCCUGCUGAAUGCCAGCAGAAAAAAUCCAAAGUAUCAAGUCCUCCUUCUUCUCUCUUCCCUUCUGCUUCUAGAAGCUUGUGUCGCCUUGCUUACAUAGAGUUUACUUUUCGUCCAUUGUUUAAGAUGUAAGCUGUACAAAAUUGGGGGGUGCAUAGCGCACC